GGCCCUUGUGUGGUUUUGUUUAAUUUGUGGACAGAGACCCACAGACAGGUGCAAAAAAUAAAUCCUCUUUUGCAAUCCUUAAAAAAAGAAAUA